UGUUUUGUUUUUUUUCAAUCUUUCUGAUUCCACCGCCAUUGCAACCACUAAAAGUGGGAUUAGUGUACUCCACUGCUUCAUUCCUUGUAAACCUCCUCAUCUACUGCUUUUACCCGGGUUAAUCCACCACCGCCUUCUUUCUCCUCAGUUACAUCUACGCAUAUCAAAAUUCCCUCGACUUAACGUCUUACGCCGCUACAUGUUCAUAUAAAUGAUCGCGGUGCUGCUCACAGUCACCGCCUCAAAUACUCGGAUACUGUAAACCACCGCUUCCUCUGUAUUUCCUCACGAUCGGUGCUUCUUUUAUUUUGCCUCUCACCCUGUUUCUCUUCCACUCACAGAUUUACACCACCUCCAUCUAACCCUUCCCACCUCCUUCGUGUCCACCUCCUUUUUCACAACCCUUUCCAUCUCCCUACUAUCGACCCCGAUUUCAUUCGCCAACAUCAUUGAAUCCUACACAGGAUGCACACAAAGAUUGGUUGACUAAAGAUCCACAAAUAUUCAUGAUUUUUCUCCGGUUUCUGAUUUAUCAAUUGUGUUUGCUUUAAUCGCCAAUGGUUUUUAUCUGAUUUCACCACCAUCAAUUUUGUUUGAUUUGUUGCGGUCGGUAUGAAGUUCCCUAUCAUAUCCAUUGAAAUUUACUGAAAUAUGUACAUGGUCUCCAGUGAAAGUGGUGGUUCCUGGUUCCAUCGAUUAUUCUUAAUUUUUUUCAAUAGAAUAAGGACCGUCUAAGGUUUCCCUCUCCAAUUUAUGUUUGGUGCUCCUAUCGGUGAACCAUAGCAAAUUGACAGAUAAAUCAUUACGGAAAGUUCAAUUGAUCUGAAAAAUAGAUCAACUGAUGCUGCAAUUGGACAUCUUGCAAAUGGUUGUUGAGGAAUUCAAACAAUGAAAUUUGGUGGCAAUGUUCUCAGAUUAGAGAUGUCUUUUUUUAGGAUAUUGGAUGGUUAUGAUGACAUCUAAAAGUACAUUUCGGACCCAGAUGCCAAAAACCACCAGAUUAGGAUGAUGACGAGAUGGCGAGUGGACUGUUCCAACUACUCAAAGCCCUGAUUACAAGGGUUUAUGAAAUAGAAGCCCAAAUUAAGGUAGUUUCAAGGUAAUGUAAUAUUGAAUAAUCAAAUUACUUGAACAAUGUAAUGAUUUCUUCUUCACCCAAAAGCCAUAAUAUUUUCCAAUUUUAUGGUACAUUGUAAUCCCUCACUAUGGGUUUCAGGACCGAGCCAUGAACGUGAUUUGGAGGUCAUAAAUACACAUUACAUAACUAAUACUACUUCAAAAAAAAUAUCAAAAUGGAUUAAUAGUUUUCUAAUUGAAUUAUCAAAAACAAACCAUAUGUGGUCAUACUUUGGAUUGCAUAACUAAUUUUUUGUAAUGCUUACAUAAAACUUUUAAAUUCUUUCUAACAAUAAUUUAGAGCUAUUUAUAUUUUUCUCAUCAAUUAUAAAAUAUAUUUAGUUGAUUUGUUUAAAAUAAAAUUUAUAAUACAAUGCAUUUUGCUUCUUGGUGAAAAAAAAUAAAUAAAUUGAAAGAAACAAAAACAAAAACAAUGCUAUUUAGUACAUAUACCACCUAAAUAUGAAAAAAAUAACAAAUAACAAUGUGCUUUGGUUUUCGUAAAAAAACUAAAUUUAAAAGGUGUAUACUGAAAGUACAUUGCUAAUAUGAUAUAUUAGGAAACACCCUCUCACCUAAGUCACAAGGGUAUUAUGAUAACUUCUAUUAAUGCAC